rnacentral:tRNA from 3 species
GGGGGCGUAGUUCAGCUUUGGUUAGAACGCUGGCCUGUCAAGCCAGAGGUCGCGAGUUCAAGUCUCGUCGUCCCCGCCA